rnacentral:rRNA from 1 species
UAGGGAAUCUUCGGCAAUGGGGGCAACCCUGACCGAGCAACGCCGCGUGAGUGAAGAAGGUUUUCGGAUCGUAAAGCUGUGUUGUAAGAGAAGAACGUGUGUGAGAGUGGAAAGUUCACACAGUGACGGUAACUUACCAGAAAGGGACGGCUAACUACGUGCCAGCAGCCGCGGUAAUACGUAGGUCCCGAGCGUUGUCCGGAUUUAUUGGGCGUAAAGCGAGCGCAGGCGGUUUAAUAAGUCUGAAGUUAAAGGCAGUGGCUUAACCAUUGUUCGCUUUGGAAACUGUUAAACGUGAGUGCAGAAGGGGAGAGUGGAAGUCCAUGUGUAGCGGUGAAAUGCGUAGAUAUAUGGAGGAACACCGGUGGCGAAGGCGGCUCUCUGGUCUGUAACUGACGCUGAGGCUCGAAAGCGUGGGGAGCAAACAGG